CGAGGUGACAGGUAACACCAAAACGCAGAAGAAUUUGUCAGAAAAAUAAUAAUAGUUACUCUAACUACAAUUCAGAAUUCAGGCACUCCAAAGUUGGCUUGAGACGGAUUAUCCGUAUAUAGGAGAACAUAGUAAACUGUGGUCCGAAUAUUAUCUAUUUUAUUCCAGCUACAGCCUCUCGAGUACGCUGCUUCGAAAAUCAAGGCGGAAGAGCGAUCGAUAUUUCAAUACUUUGCCCACGGCAAAAACCAUGAAAGAAUGAAAACAUUUAUAUACAGUAUGUAUAUGUGUAAAGAAAUAGAACAUAAAAAAG
rnacentral:sRNA from 1 species